GCGCCAUUUUUAAAUCAAACAGAGAUCGUGCAGUGCGAGGAAGUUGUAGUCGUCAACUUGGUCUUGGUCUCCUGGACUCGUCACGGUCAAAUUGGGAACCAUCGAGAGGUCCCGGUCAAAUUAGAAACGUCGAGACCUGCUGCUCCCUCUCUAUGGUGGAUUGUUCACUUUGUUUAUCUCCUGGCUGACACACAUAAGGCUACAUGAUAGGUAGUGUAUAUAUACCAUCAUAUUAUACGUUGCAUGAUCACGUUUUCAUCCAUGCAUGUGCGAAAGUGUGUCUGUAUUUAUUUACGGCCGGACGUAUAUCUAUAUACGAUACAUAUAUAAAAUUUGUUGCUCUCUUACUUUGCCGAUAUAAAGAGCUGUUUGUCUAGACACUAUUACGUUCAUGCAUAUGUACAUAUAUGUACUCCUUUUUUUUUAUCUUCUUUCUCUUUUUUUUAUUAGGGAUAUUGUAUUAUCCCUUAUUUGCCUAUAUCAUAUAGUUAAAUGAAACUUGAUCAGCUAUACCAUUUUAUUUAAUACGAUAUAAAUAUCUCCAUAUAUUUCUGGUAUGCUAAAGAUUGGUGUCAACAGGAUAGAGAAAUAUAAUAAUACUUAUUUAUUCCUGCAGCACUGUUUAAGAAUAUUCAUGGUCCGACGUAUUACGUACGUGCAUAUAUAUAUUUGUAUAAGUUAUUAUCUUUUCUUUUCUCUAGUUGAAUAAUCACCAGGUCACUUGUGUGAUAGGUUAUUCUAUCAACACUCUUAAUCAUUCGGAACUGUAUACACAUAUACGCUUUCUCAUCAUGCAUAUUUGGAUAUAGCAUGUAUACAUAUUUAUUAUACCUCUUCACCCAUGUAUAUUUUGAAGUGUACGAUAUCAUUCCUUUCAUUAUUCGUUUCUAUCUUAUAUGGAAUUUGGCCAUAUAUACUAUUUAUAUUUAUUUAAAGCAAAUAUUACACAUAUUAUCAGUGAGUCAAAAACUAUGUCAACAUGAUGCUGAGAGGAACUCCUAAACUAAAGAUGUUCAUGCUUAUCGAGAAGAUAAACUGAAAAAACCUUCCCUGUUUUUUUUUUGUUUCAAAAAAAAAUUGAAUUCAUCACACUAGUUUUCAUACAAGUAUGUUUACAAUGGAACUUUGAGUUACCAUCUACAGUCAACCACAGUAGUAAUUUUCACAGAACCUCAGGUGCACGUGUGAUACUGGACGCUAACGGACAUUAGCAAUUGUUAAUUUUUACUACCUUGUAAAGGUUGUGAUUUAAUGGAUGCGUGUAUCUGAUUGCUUGUUUACAACAAUCGAAGUUUUUACACUGAUCAGAUGCGGGUCACUACAGGAAACACUAGAUUUGCCUAGAGCUUUGAGGUUUGCCGAGAGCUUUCUAUCGGGC
rnacentral:lncRNA from 1 species